rnacentral:rRNA from 1 species
GGUCAAAUUGACGUUGAAAACACCGGUUCUCGUUCGAUCACCGAAGUUAAGCAUCGUAGAGCCAGGUCAGUACUUGUUUGGGGACCGCUUGGGAACACCUGGUACUGUAAG